rnacentral:rRNA from 1 species
AUACGGAGGGGGCUAGCGUUGUUCGGAAUUACUGGGCGUAAAGCGUACGUAGGCGGACUGAUCAGUUGGGGGUGAAAUCCCAGGGCUUAACCCUGGAACUGCCUUCAAUACUGUCAGUCUUGAGAUUGGAAGAGGUGAGUGGAAUUCCUAGUGUAGAGGUGAAAUUCAUAGAUAUUAGGAGGAACACCAGUGGCGAAGGCGGCUCACUGGCUCGAUACUGACGCUGAGGUGCGAAAGCGUGGGGAGCAAACAGGAUUAGAAACCCUAGUAGUCC